rnacentral:rRNA from 1 species
AAGGCUCACCAAGACCGUGAUGCAUAGCCGACCUGAGAGGGUAAUCGGCCACACUGGGACUGAGACACGGCCCAGACUCCUACGGGAGGCAGCAGUAGGGAAUCUUCCACAAUGGACGAAAGUCUGAUGGAGCAACGCCGCGUGAGUGAAGAAGGUUUUCGGAUCGUAAAACUCUGUUGUUGGAGAAGAAUGUAUCUGAUAGUAACUGAUCAGGUAGUGACGGUAUCCAACCAGAAAGCCACGGCUAACUACGUGCCAGCAGCCGCGGUAAUACGUAGGUGGCAAGCGUUGUCCGGAUUUAUUGGGCGUAAAGCGAGCGCAGGCGGUUUCUUAAGUCUGAUGUGAAAGCCUUCGGCUCAACCGAAGAAGUGCAUCGGAAACUGGGAAACUUGAGUGCAGAAGAGGACAGUGGAACUCCAUGUGUAGCGGUGAAAUGCGUAGAUAUAUGGAAGAACACCAGUGGCGAAGGCGGCUGUCUGGUCUGUAACUGACGCUGAGGCUCGAAAGCAUGGGUAGCAAACAGGAUUAGAUACCCUGGUAGUCCAUGCCGUAAACGAUGAGUGCUAGGUGUUGGAGGGUUUCCGCCCUUCAGUGCCGCAGCUAACGCAUUAAGCACUCCGCCUGGGGAGUACGACCGCAAGGUUGAAACUCAAAGGAAUUGACGGGGGCCCGCACAAGCGGUGGAGCAUGUGGUUUAAUUCGAAGCAACGCGAAGAACCUUACCAGGUCUUGACAUCCUUUGACCACUCUAGAGAUAGAGCUUUCCCUUCGGGGACAAAGUGACAGGUGGUGCAUGGUUGUCGUCAGCUCGUGUCGUGAGAUGUUGGGUUAAGUCCCGCAACGAGCGCAACCCUUAUUACUAGUUGCCAGCAUUUAGUUGGGCACUCUAGUGAGACUGCCGGUGACAAACCGGAGGAAGGUGGGGACGACGUCAAAUCAUCAUGCCCCUUAUGACCUGGGCUACACACGUGCUACAAUGGAUGGUACAACGAGUUGCGAGACCGCGAGGUUUAGCUAAUCUCUUAAAACCAUUCUCAGUUCGGAUUGUAGGCUGCAACUCGCCUACAUGAAGCCGGAAUCGCUAGUAAUCGCGGAUCAGCAUGCCGCGGUGAAUACGUUCCCGGGCCUUGUACACACCGCCCGUCACACCAUGAGAGUUUGUAACACCCAAAGCCGGUGAGGUAACCCUUCGGGGAGCCAGCCGUCUAAG